UUCUUGGGACUUGUUUAGCUCUGGGGGGGGGGUCCCCGGAGAUGCUAUGCUACUUCACCUGCUGUUUCACCUGCUCUUGUGCUACCUAAACUACAAGUGAGAGGUCUUCGUUUAACUUCAGAUAGACAUCCCUCGCUGGAGCCACAGCAGUACUCCUCCUGAGGAAAGUGGCUCCCACAGCGCCGUCAUAUGGACACUUCUAAACAACCUGUGGAGGGUGGCUGCGGUCCAGCCAUCCCCUGCACCCGUACCUGUUCCUCGAGUGGGGACAGCAGCUGCCCAGCCGUCGCCAGUGCCCAUUCCGGUUCCCAGGGCGAGGCUAGCCAGGGCACAGCCUACCUCCGCAACCGUACCUACUCCUCGGUGGGAGCAGCUACUGCCCAGCAGGCCCCCACACCUGUUUCUGUCCUCGCUCGAGGCUCAGCUCUCCAUCACACACCCACAUUUUGACAAAGUUCGAACCACUUCCUGAACCAGUCACGUGGUACAGCCGGGCAGCGAGGGUUCGGAUGUCAUCAUUUUCAGCUCCUCCCAUAAAUGAAGCAAGCCUCGAUACGUGCAUCGUGGAAACGCCCCCUCCAUUACUCGACACAAGCUUUGAAGCCUUGAUGCACAAUGUCACAUCACUACUGUCCAGCCUUCUGUCUCCACUGGAGGGCCCAGGGAGCCUGUCCAGCCAUCUGUUCCUGGUGGAGGGUCCGAGGGGCCCGUCCGGCCUUCGUCUGUUGUUCCCGCUGGAGGUUCUGGAGAACCGCUCCAGCCGUCUUCGGUCUCCGCUGGAGGGUCCGAGGGGCCUGUCCAGCCUUCGUCGCCUGUAGCGCCACCACCUGCUCCACCACCUGUGGCUCUCAUGCAGUUGCCUGCAGUUUCCUCACUGCCACCUGCAGUGCCACCACCAAUUCCUGCCUCGCCUUCCACCUGGCCGGCCUCCGGACCUGCUCAGUCGUCGCAGUUGCUGGCUUCACGGUCGACCUCCUGAACCGUUUUUUGGACUUCUGUGUUGUCGACCGCCGGGCUGGCCCCCUGAGCUACCCAGGUUUGCCUCAGACCCGGAGGCAACACAGAGCACAGAGGGACUGUGGCCACUUUGCCGCAACUCCCUGUGGCUUCUGCAUCGUGGCUGCUGGGUGACCCCCGCAUCUGGGACUCUCCUCAACUCUUUUCUACAUGGGUCGCAGGUGAAGAUAGUCCCCGUUCGGCAUAGGGCGCUCUAUAUACGCAAGUGUGCAGGUAAAACAAACAAGACUUCAAAAUAAAGACAAUAUCAGGUUAUCACUGUGUAAUAGGGAUGUUUUCUAUUAGUUAUUCAAACUUUCUUACCUUGUUUCACAUUCCCUAAUUGUUCCUGUAGCUGACUGUGGCUUUUACUCACUUCAUCAUAACGUCUCUGUAACUGAGUCAGGCUGGUUUUUGUGUCUUCAGAGAAAAACAGAUAAAAAUUAAGUUAAAAUAUUCAAAGGAUACAGCUAUCGUAUAAGAACUUAUACCCGUAUACUCAGUAUUUGCUCGCUUACCCUGAACUUCAGACUGUAGCCGACUGUAACUGCGACUCAGAAUGUUGUAGUUGGUCCGAAGUUCAUUGUGUUUGAUUUGAAGAAUGUCGUAAUUAUUCUUGUUAAAAGCCACUGAAAUACAACAUUUUAAAAAUUAAGAUGAUUGAAACAUUGAACAGAAAUAAGCGUCUUACUCUUUAUUGUUAAAUAUAUUAAUACGUAUUAGAAACUUGUUAUAUUACACACAGCAUAAGUGUCUAUGAUACAGUAACAGACUGAACUUUGACCCGUUGCUAUGACUGUCAUAGUUUUGUCAUUUUGUGUAACUGCUGUGUUUUUCUGUCCUUCAUGAAAAGCUCUGAA
ensembl:lncRNA